rnacentral:rRNA from 1 species
AGUCACUGACAUUAGAUACCCGUGUAGUUCAGGGUGUAAACGCUGCGGCUUGGUGUGGGGUCCUUUGAGGGCGCCCAGUGCCGGAGAGAAGUUGUUAAGCCUGCUGCUUGGGGAGUACGUCCGCAAGGAUGAAACUUAAAGGAAUUGGCGGGGGAGCACCGCAACGGGAGGAGCGUGCGGUUCAAUUGGAUUCAACGCCGGACAACUCACCAGGAGCGACGGUUACAUGAAGGCCAGGCUGAUGACCUUGCCUGAUUUUCCG